AGGUAGAUGGCCUAAUGGACGGUGGUGUCUGACUUUGGAUGAGAAGAUUGAGGGUUUGAGUCCCUUCCUGGUUG